ACCACGUGAUCAUCCACGUGAGCAGUGCAAGUUCGCUGAGAAAAGUAGGAGCUGCAGAUCCCCGAGACAACAAAGUGCAGAGCUGGAUGAACACCGCAGGCCAAGCAGCAUCAGUGAAGCAGGAAAGCUGACGUUUCGGGCCCAGCUCCUUCGCUGAGACCAAGAUUUGUGCAAUUGAGAUACCAGCGAUCGUUGCCAAAGCCCUGUUACUUGUGGAGAAGGUCAUGUUUAACUUCUGUGUGCUGCUGCAGUUCAUAUGAUGAAGGUGCUCCCACAAUGCGGUCAUUUGAGAAGUUACAGAUCAUUCAUCGAGCGAUACUGAAGAGCUGAUGGUGAUAUUACAAGUGGACUUGCAGGUGGGAAACUCAAUAAUUGUAACACCAAACUCUGACAGAAUUAUUCAAUUCAUCAACAUCUGGAUAUUUGCAUUGUGUAGUGGUUCAUGUGUGAAACGAACUUUCAGUGGAGGUGGUGGAUGCAGAUUUCCACAAUUUUACUUCUGCACUGUUCUUAACCUUUUGAUCCCUCUGAAAGACUGAGUUACAAUGCCUGUCCUUCCUCCCUGGCUGUCCCACCUCUCUUUCAGCAGUUUUGUGCAAAUACUGACUGGAUCCCUUACCUGGAGGAUAUUUAUUUGAAUUUGUUCUAAUGAUGAUCCAGCAUAUUUCCCAAGUGUCGCUCCAUAAAUGUCCAGAGGAUUUCUCCAUUUCACAAUCUGUGGUUGUUCUUCUGGUUUCUCACUCACUGCACUUACUUUCUGUUUGAAAGCUUAGUCUGCAAUUGGAGAAUUCAAACAGGUCCACAUCCAGCUCUGACAGUCACUUUGUUUAUCACAAACCAGUUACCUCAGGAUUUUGAACAUUGGAGGAAAAAGCAGCAUUCACACUGGGGAGAAAUGCACAUGAUCUGUAAAGAGUCUGUGAAGAUUCAUCUGAAAUGUCCGAACACCAGUGCAGUGACACUGGGGAGAGACUGUGGAAAUGUGCAGGUUGCAGGAAGGAAUUUUUAAAAUCCAUCCCAGCUAGAAACUGACCACCAGAGUCACACUGGAGAGAAACCAUUCACCUGCUCUGAUUGUGGAAUGGGAUUCACUCAGUCAUCUAACCUGCUUAAACACCACGGAGUUCGCACUGUAGAGAAACCAUUUACAUGCUUGAAAUGUGGGAAAGCAUUCACUCAGACAUCUCAACCGCUGAUGCACUAGCGAAUUCACACUGGAGACAGACCAUUGGCCUGUUCUGCGUGAGGGAAAGGCUUUGCUGACUCGAAUUGCCCGCUGAUACACCAGCGACUUCACUCUGGGGAGUGACCAUUCAUCUGCUCCCAGUGUGGGAAGGGAUUCACUUGCUCACCCAACCUGCAGAGCGUUCACACUGGGGAGAAACCAUUCACCUGCUCUAAAUUUGUGAAAGCAUUCACUUUGUCGUCCUACCUGCUCGUGUUCCAGCAGGUUCAUACUAGGGAGGGACCAUUCAUGAGCUCUGAGUGGGGGGAAAGCAUUCACUCAGUUAUCCAAACUGCUAACACACCAGCGAGUUCACAAAGAAGCACAGUUGAAGGAUUUUGCUGUCACACUCACAAUCAAAUGAACCAUGGUGUUGGGCUGUUUGUACUGAUGUUACUGAUCCCUGCUCAAUUAAACGUGCUGGUAUUGCAGAUAAAAUGUUAAUAA